CUCCCCGUGUUUCUUUCCUCCCCAUCAUUUCAGUUUCCCCAUUUUUACCCUUCCCGUUUCUUCUCAUUCUCACAAUAUCUCUCAUCUCAGUUUCUCUCUCUCUCUCUCUCUCUUCUCCGUACCAAGUCACUCGGCACCAUUAUGGAAACGCCACCGCCGCCGGUACUCGCCGUUCGAUGCUGUAAGUGUUGAUCAGUCCCUCCCCGUCGACCCCAGCUAACGACCAACACACGACGCUAGCGUACACUGGUGCUCGCUGUCACCCUGGCUGAUCCACUACAUGCCCUCCGUUUGAACCACUAUGACCCAAUUAGUUCCAUCGCAUGGAGUUCCACUGCUCACCACCCUGCUCGUGACAUCGUGCAUCUUUACACUGCUGCCUUUCAAACUUUGGUGACGAUCAAUUUGCUUUACAUUGCUAUGGCUAUGAGAAUUUUUUUUAGAGAAGUUGAAGAGUCAGUUCAAUUGGUGAUCAGUAAUAGAAAGUGCGGGCAAGAUUAGCUGAUGAUAGAGGGUUGAGUACCUAAGGGUACUAUUGCUUUUGGAUAAACUUUAUUUGGUAGGUUGAAUUUCAGUAUGUCUAUGGGAGUUUAUGGAGAUUUAGGAGUAGUUAAGUUAUUUCAUUGGAUUAUUGUAGCGAGGACCAGUUGAGGAACUUGUGUAGUUGGCUGAAAUAGAUGAAUUUAUGUUUUGUUUUUGGAGUUUUGGAAAUUAUAUUGUAUUGAGAGACAUGAUUAUUGGUGACAUGAGCUAAUUCCUUGGACCUCUGGAAUUGGGCCGACAUGACCCAUACAUAUAGAUGAUUCAUUUA